GGUGAGUAACACGUGGGUAUCUUCCCUUGAGCGGGGGAUAACAUUCCGAAAGGAGUGCUAUACCGCAUAAGACCACGGUCCGAAAGGAGCUGAGGUAAAGCUGGCCUCUAUAUAUAAGCUAGCACUUAAGGAUGAGCCCGCGCCAUCAGUUAGUUGGCAGGGUAAUGGCCUACCAAGACUAAGACGGGUAGCUGGUCUGAGAGGAAGAUCAGCCACGGUGGAACUGAGACACGGUCCAGACUCCUACGGGAGGCAGCAGUGGGGAAUCUUGCGCAAUGGACGAAAGUCUGACGCAGCGACGCCGCGUGGGUGAUGAAGGCCUUCGGGUUGUAAAAGCCCUGUGGGGAGAGACGGAAUAAAGUGCCGCCUAAAUACCGUUGCCUGAUGGAACGGGUAUCUCCUUUAGCAAGCACCGGUUAACUCUGUGCCAGCAGCCGGGGGUAAAGACCAGAGGGGUGCAAACGGUGGUUCGGAAAUUACUUGGGCGUA
rnacentral:rRNA from 1 species